UUCCGGUUGAUCCUGCCGGACCUGACUGCUAUCGGAUUGAUACUAAGCCAUGCGAGUCAUUGUAGCAAUACAAGGCAGACGGCUCAGUAACGCGUAGUCAAUCUACCCUAUGGACGGGGAUAACCUCGGGAAACUGAGAAUAAUACCCGAUAGAACAUUAUGCCUGGAAUGGUUUAUGUUUCAAAUGAUUUAUCGCCAUAGGAUGGGACUGCGGCCUAUCAGUUUGUUGGUGAGGUAAUGGCCCACCAAGACUAUUACAGGUACGGGCUCUGAGAGGAGUGGCCCGGAGAUGGGUACUGAGACACGGACCCAGGCCCUAUGGGGCGCAGCAGGCGAGAAAACUUUGCAAUGUGCGAAAGCACGACAAGGUUAAUCCGAGUGGUUUCUGCUAAAGAAACCUUUUGUCAGUCCUAGAAACACUGGUGAAUAAGGGGUGGGCAAGUUCUGGUGUCAGCCGCCGCGGUAAAACCAGCACCUCAAGUGGUCAGGAUGAUUAUUGGGCCUAAAGCAUCCGUAGCUCGUUUUGUAAGUUUUCGGUUAAAUCCAUGCGCUUAACGUAUGGGCUGCCGGGAAUACUGCAUGACUAGGAAGUGGGAGAGGUAGACGGUACUCGGUAGGAAGGGGUAAAAUCCUUUGAUCUAUUGAUGACCACCUGUGGCGAAGGCGGUCUACCAGAACACGUUCGACGGUGAGGGAUGAAAGCUGGGGGAGCAAACCGGAUUAGAUACCCGGGUAGUCCCAGCUGUAAACGAUGCAAACUAGGUGUUUGGACGGCCACGUGCCGUUCUAGUGCCGCAGGGAAGCUGUUAAGUUUGCCGCCUGGGGAGUACGAUCGCAAGAUUGAAACUUAAAGGAAUUGGCGGGGGAGCACCACAAGGGGUGAAGCCUGCGGUUCAAUUGGAUUCAACGCCGGA
rnacentral:rRNA from 1 species